UACGGAGGGUGCAAGCGUUAUCCGGAUUCACUGGGUUUAAAGGGUGCGUAGGUGGGAAUGUAAGUCAGUGGUGAAAUCUCCGUGCUUAACAUGGAAACUGCCAUUGAUACUAUGUUUCUUGAAUUUUCUGGAGGUCAGCGGAAUAUGUCAUGUAGCGGUGAAAUGCUUAGAUAUGACAUAGAACACCAAUUGCGAAGGCAGCUGACUACAGGGAUAUUGACACUGAGACACGAAAGCGUGGGGAUCAAACAGG
rnacentral:rRNA from 1 species